rnacentral:lncRNA from 1 species
CCAAACCAAUGUUCUAAGCCUCGUUCCAUAUUUAAUAAAUGUUCCUUACAUUGUGGAAAUUUACUUGAGAUUUUCCACUGUGAAACAUUAAAAUGCCAAACUAUUGUUGCAAAUUUCCCAUCUAAUAAUAAAGGCUUUGAUUGAAAAUGAUUCAAUUGAAAGGGACUUGAUAACUUAAAAACCUUAUUUUUGCAUUCUACCAUUCUGGGAGAGAAUACAUUUACCUUAACAUCACCACAUCUCUCAUGAUGAUUUCUUAGCAUUAAACAACAUUGAUAGUUUCCACUAUCACUGUAGGUAGG